rnacentral:rRNA from 1 species
AUGAGUCAUUCUGAUGGCAUCAACAUCCCCAAUGGCAAGUUCUACGUACGAGAUGCUGGCUAUGCAUGUCGGCCAGGUGUUCUUCCACCCUCCAGGAAAAUCAGGUACCAUCUGAACGAGUUCGCUGAUAGGAACUAUCCUAGGAUUCUACGGGAGCUGUUUAAUCUCAGACAUUUCAGUCUCAGAGUUACUGUUGAGAGGACAUUUGGAGUUCUGAAGAACAAGUUUAAGAUCCUAAAUCAGAAGCCAUUCCACACUUUUCCCACCCAGGUUAAGCUUGUGCUUGCCUGCAUUCUGCAUAACUGGAUCCUGCAAUGGGGUUGUGAUGAACCGGUGCCUGAGGAGGAAAGCGUGACGCCUGACGAUGUUGUCAGAUACGACCAUGAUGUAGAGGCAUUUAACAACGAAGGCUGAAAGAACAAAAUGAUGAAGUGGGCACAUAUAAUAUGGGAUAACAGAGGUCAGAUAAGAAUCUGA